AAGGGAUAACUCAUUUAUCACUUAUUUUUAUGCAAGUAUUCGCUGAGUUGGUGUAUUUUUGGUGGUGAAUUGAAACUUUUAGACCUGCUUACGAGCAAAUUAUGAGACAUUGGAUUUUAACGAGUGUUAAAUGCACUGAGCAUUGUUACAUUUGAGCCCGCUCAUCAUUUCAUGUGUUUCAUCAAGUAUAUCAUUUUCGAAUAUGUUAAUAAGGAAGAGGAAUGAAUUCCUCGUUUCAGUUCAUUUUUCUUCGUUAUUGUAUUAUUAUUAUUAUUAUUAUUAUUAUUUUUUGAUUGACAGAAGAUGCUGGCUUGUUUGAUUGCUUUGGUAUCUGCAGUAAAACUGCCGUACCAACUGUUAGUGAAAGUUUUAUUGGAAUGGGAUGGUUACGCUAACCUUUCAGCUUAUGUUACUAUUGUUACUGUGUUUAUUUUUAACAGCUAUCACAGACCCUAUUGCCGAUGACGUGAAUAUUAAUACGUACUACUUAGUCAUAUUGCACUAAAACACACCCAGUGUUAUGUUCAUGCGCAAAGCAUUGUUGUUAAUUAAAUGUUAUAUUCAUUUGCCUGGUGUUCCAUUUGUUAAAGCCCCUGUUCUGUUUCAUUUCUAACAAUGGUGUGUCCUAUUAUCUCAGAUUUACUUUUAGAUCUCGGCGAUAGUGUUAGCAAUAGCAUUUCUUCUUAAUUAUUAUUAUUAUAUCUUAUUUCCUUCUUAGUGUGAACAGCAUUGAUCAAAACAGACACAUGAAAGUACUUCGCAUGUUUGGCGAUCCUCCUGAUGGCAGGCGUGUUUGUGUAUAAGAGAUGACAGAAUUUAACAUCUAAUGUGUUCAAAAUGGUUCAAAUUUACAAACACCAGCUGUUUUCUCAGGUUCGAAAUGACCCGAAUAUAAUCUCGGUAAUGUAAAUACGAUUAAAAUAGGAUUUAUUUUUUCCAUAGUCUUUGGAGACGUUGAGCCAAAACAUAAAAGUGAAAAGUCCAUGCCGAUUUUUUUGUACAAGUGCAAAGUGUACUAAUUUCCAGCUUUUAGCACAAAUAUGGAAUUAUUAAAAAAAAAAAAAAAAAAAAAAAUGUUGUCGCUACAAUCUUCAAUUUAAAUGUAAUCUAUAAAUGUCCUUUGUACCCUGGAUUAUGGGGUUAAAAAAAUAUCCAUAGUCGUGAAGAUGCCGUUCGAACCAUAUUUGCAUUGUGUGGAAGUAUGUGAGGAAGAAAAAUUCUAAGUUGUGCCGUGUUUGUUCGAUGCUUUAUGCAAACAGGUUUAUUGAAGUUUAUUUUAGGAAAUUAUUCUUCCUAACCCGUAUGUAUGAUACAGGCCCUUGCAUUUCAAAUUGUAGAAAUGUCUAUACAAUAUUUUGUAUAUAUAUGAUAAGCCAUUGUGUGUCAUACUUUGAGUAUAAAUAAAACUAAAUCCGUUGUUACUAAUUAGUGUUUGUGUUUUCUUUAUUAUGAGGCAUAGUGUACACUCUUGGAAAGAAAUGUUCUUUGUAGGACCCUAAAGGGCUCUUGUUUGUCCCUCUGCAUGGAGGAACCCGAAAUCCCUGGCCUGACUUGUUCAUCAAGAAAAAAAUCAAAUAAAACUCAGUUAUGAACCAGUUUUCUUCAUAUUGUAAAAUAUCAUUCUUUCUCGCUCUCAAACUCCCUUGUUUAAAUGGCAGACUUUGCCUGUCACCAUAUAGUCAGACUUCUUUUGUGCCUAAGGUAAGACAUUAAGUUUGACGUUCAUGUGCCGAUGAUGUAUUUGUACAAAAUUCCCACUAGUCCCACUAGUUCACGACAGCACUGACUAUGAAUUACUAUUACAGGAAAGGUCCCAAGACUCUGCUACCUUACCAGGCAUUAACCAGUGCAGGAGGCCCCAACCUACAACCAAACACAUGCAAAAGAAACAAAGCAAAAAAACAUUAUAUUAGACUUCCUUCAUGAACAUUUAAGUAAUCUCAAUGCUAUGCAGGAGGCAAUCUUACCUAAGGGCACUUUCAGAAUCAGAAUCGGGUGUCUUAGCCAAGUAUGCCUGAGCGUACACGGAAUCUGUUGCCAGUUUAAAGUGUUCCUACGACAC
ensembl:lncRNA